GACGAACCGUGCGAACGUUGUUCGGAAUCACUGGGCUUAAAGGGCGCGUAGGCGGGCGGCCAAGUCAGGGGUGAAAUCUUUCGGCCCAACCGGAAAAGUGCCCCUGAUACUGGCGGCCUCGAGGGGGGUAGGGGCAUGCGGAACUUCCGGUGGAGCGGUGAAAUGUGUUGAUAUCGGAAGGAACGCCGGUGGCGAAAGCGACACACUGGGUCUCAACUGACGCUGAGGCACGAAAGCCAGGGGAGCGAACGGG
rnacentral:rRNA from 1 species